AUUGGACACAAUGGGGGAAACCCUGAUGGCAAGCGACGCCGCGUGGGAGGAAGAAGGUCUUCGGAUUGUAAACUCCUGUUGUUGAGGAAGAUAAUGACGGUACUCAACAAGGAAGUGACGGCUAAACUACGUGCCAGCAGCCGCGGUAAAAACGUAGGUCACAAGCGUUGUCCGGAAUUACUGGGUGUAAAGGGAGCGCAGGCGGGAGAACAAGUUGGAAGUGAAAUCCAUGGGCUCAACCCAUGAACUGCUUUCAAAACUGUUUUUCUUGAGUAGUGCAGAGGUAGGCGGAAUUCCCGGUGUAGCGGUGGAAUGCGUAGAUAUCGGGAGGAACACCAGUGGCGAAGGCGGCCUACUGGGCACCAACUGACGCUGAGGCUCGAAAGUGUGGGUAGCAAACAGGAUUAGAUACCCUGGUAGUCCACACCGUAAACGAUGAUUACUAGGUGUUGGAGGAUUGACCCCUUCAGUGCCGCAGUUAACACAAUAAGUAAUCCACCUGGGGAGUACGACCGCAAGGUUGAAACUCAAAGGAAUUGACGGGGGCCCGCACAAGCGGUGGAGCAUGUGGUUUAAUUCGAAGCAACGCGAAGAACCUUACCAAGUCUUGACAUCCCUUGACGAUGCUGGAAACAGUAUUUCUCUUCGGAGCAAGGAGACAGGUGGUGCAUGGUUGUCGUCAGCUCGUGUCGUGAGAUGUUGGGUUAGUCCCGCAACGAGCGCAACCCUUAUGGUCAGUUACUACGCAAGAGGACUCUGGCCAGACUGCCGUUGACAAAACGGAGGAAGGUGGGGAUGACGUCAAAUCAUCAUGCCCCUUAUGACUUGGGCUACACACGUACUACAAUGGCGUUAAACAAAGAGAAGCAAGACCGCGAGGUGGAGCAAAACUCAGAAACACGUCCCAGUUCGGACUGCAGGCUGCAACUCGCCUGCACGAAGUCGGAAUUGCUAGUAAUCGUGGAUCAGCAUGCCACGGUGAAUACGUUCCCGGGCCUUGUACACACCGCCCGUCACACCAUGAGAGCCGGGGGGACCCGAAGUCGGUAGUCUAACCGCAAGGAGGACGCCGCCGA
rnacentral:rRNA from 1 species